AAUUUGAAUUAUUAUUUUUGAAAUGUUUUUUUAAAAAAAUUUGAAAGUGCUUUUUAAAACUAUUUUUACAAUUUUUAUUUUAAAUUUUUAAUAUUUUUUUCUAUUUUUUUAAGUUGUGAAUUGUAUCAUGUUAAAGUUGUGAUUUGUAUAUUAUUUCAUUCUUCAAUUUGAGUUUUUGUGUGUGAGUGUAUUUUAUUACAUUGAUUUCAAAAAUCUUAUGGCUAUAGAUGAUAUUCUCAAAGUUGAGCACUAUGAGUAAAAACAAAGAAAAUUUACAUCCCAAUAACAAUAGAUUUUAAUAGAAUCUUAAAAUCAACGAAAACUAAACUUUUCCAAUAACAAAGGAUUUUGAGUGAAAUUUAAAAAUCAUCACCCCAAUAACAAUGGAUUCUAUUUAGAUUUUAAAAAUUCACAAACCAAUAACAACGGAAUCUCAAAAUUUAAUAAUUCCUCUAAAAUUCUUUGCCCAAUAACCCCCCUAAAAUCUUUCCACAAGAGAUUUUUCUCCAUGUGUCAACUUUCAAUUGCUCAAAUUAUUUUAAAAAUAAAUAAAUAUAAUUAUAAAGUUAAACCAUAAUAUUUUAGUUUUGUUGAGAGAUUCUAAUAUCAUACAACAGUACUGAUGCUCUUAAAUGUAAUUCUAAGAACAUCAUCAGUGCUUUAAACACGAGUCUCUUCUUACAAAAGAAAAGAAUAAAAAAUAAAUAGUAGGCGAGAGUUACAUAAAAAAAAAAUUUGAACAUUGGUGAGUUUUUCUAAGUGGUUUUCUCAACAUUUAAUAUUAAUAUUUUAAGACAGUUUAAUUAUGUGAUUAAAAUUUAAUGGUGAAAACAGAAAUCUUGCAAUCAAGACGUGAGAGUAUUUUCACCAUUUCUUGAAGGUUUCUCUUUUUUUUUUCAAGUUCUUGAAGGUUUCAAAUGAGAGAUUUAUGUGAAUUUUUCAACUUUUUAUGUUUCUCUCUCAUACUAUAUUAUUUUAUUAUUUUGUGAAUAUUUUUUGAAAAACUACCAAUAUAAAUGCUCUAACGUAUUUUUAUUAGUAAACUCUUCUAUAUAGUGUCACUUGUCCUUCUCCUAAUCACAAUCUUAUAUUAAACCUUAAAUUUUAAUAACUCGUUUAAAUAUUUUUUUUUUUGGAACGCAACUUUCAUUAAAACAUAGAGUUAGGUGGUUGAACCACCAGAUACAAGGUUGAUAAUCAUGCUCUAACAAACUCAUUGAUUCAAGUCUGAUUUGUGAAACAACUUCAAACAUGCAUAUCAAAGAUGUUGUAUUGGACCAACCUUGUCCCAUAACCAUGCUAACAUCAGGUCUUUUGGAUCUGAUGGCUAAUACAUGGUCUUAAAGCCAUGAAUGGUAUUGGGGAAGAAACAUUUAUCUUUAGCCUCUAAAUUUAAGAGUAUAUAUAUAUAUAUCACACGGGUCUCAAAUUAAUAAAAGCCAAAUUUUAUUAAAUUUUUAACUAUAUUGUCCAUAACCUCUAAAAUCUCAUGAUUGGUUUUACUUAGAGCAUUUCCUAGGUGAAUGAGAGACUAAUUUCAUACGCAUACUGAAAUACUCACAAAUAGGCCUCGGUAUAAAAUUUGAAACCUGAAAUCUAAACCAAAUCUGACCCGUCCUAAAUAUAAAAAUAUUCGAACGAAACUUGUAGGGUGAUACAAAAUAUAUCGGAACCUGAAGUGUUAUUAACCGAACGGGUAACCCAAAAAAUAAAAAAAAUCAUAGUUAAUAUAAAUAUUUGAAAUAUAUAUAAGUAUUUAAAAUACUCAAUUCAAUGUUUAUGUUGAUAUGACAUAUAAAAUAAAUAUUAAAAUUUAAAUAAAUACCUUAAAUAUCCAAUUAUAAAUAAGAAUUUCAUAAUUUGGUAAUACACAUUAUUACAAAUGAUGUUUGUUUUUAUGUUUGAUUUAACAUUUUGUUGUUAUUUUAUUAGUUUUAUGUGUGUUAGAUUAAUUUCUAUUAAAUUUAAGUAUUUUUAUGUUUUAUUUUAAAAAAAAUUUCUUCAAAUAUAUCCGAGCCGAAAUGAUAUAACACAAAUUUGAAUGAUAUAAAGUUACUUUAUGGAUUGUAGGACGCAAUACAAAUUUGAACCGAAUCCGAAUUGUUAUUAUUUAAACCGACUCAUAUUAAUAAAAUAUUAGAAUGAGACUUAGGAGAGUAUAUCCAAAAACCCUAAAAAUCUAAAAAAUCUGAUCCGACUCCGAAUGGGUACCCGAAUGCUGAUGCCUACUCACACAACUGAAUAUUUGUCUUUUGUUUUUAUAUGAGGAAUUCGAAGUGAGAACGAAGUUUUCAUUUCUCAUAAAAUAAUAUAAUAACAAUAGUUAAUUGUGAGUCUUUUUGAAUAGUUGAAAAGCUCACAAAAUUUCUUGUUUUGAGCACAAUUAAAUUAGUGAUAUUUGCGAGGAGGGUGCCUUUUUUUUUUUUUUAAACUACACAUCUGGCCUAACCCUUACUAAAUUAGUGGAUGCAUGCAGUGUGGUGGACAGGAGAAUGCAAACGAUCUCGUGAGGCAGCCCUUCUACAAGUUCCUCCAGCGAACCAUACUUUUGCAUGAGAUGGCUUUUGCCCUUCUCCUCUAUAUUUGUGGACGCAUGCCCUUCCUCGUCUGGGGAAUUGGUGUGGUAAAUGUGGCUCGAUACCACGGGACUUUUCUGGUGAACUCAGUUUGCCAUACAUGGGGAACACGAGCUUGGAACACACCUGACCUCUCCAAAAACAAUUUGUGGGUAGCGGCUAUAACAUUUGGUGAAGGAUGGCAUAACAAUCAUCAUGCAUUCGAGUUCUCGGCUAGGCAUGGACUCGAGUGGUGGCAGCUCGACUUUACUUGGUAUCUUAUUAAGUUUCUUGAAGCUAUUGGCUUGGCCACGAACGUUAAGUUACCUUUUGAAGCUAAAAAGAAGACAAUGGCUUGUAACUAGUUGUAUUAUCGAUGUUCUGUCCUAUAUGUAUGAAUAAUAAAGUCAAGUGAACGAGCCCGUGGUUUGUUAGAUAGGAUAUAUUUAAGUGUGUGUGGUGUUGUAUUAAUAAAGAACACAAGCUUCAGACGUGAACUCUACUUUUUUUGUCAAGGCUGUUGGUUUUCUCUAUUAUAUACACAUAUGGUAUUUCACAACAACAAAGUUUCUCAAGGCUGUUGGUUUGGUCACUAAUGUUAACAAUACCAAUGAAGCCUAAAAGAAGAAAAUGGCUUUGGUCUGAUCCUUUAUAACGGCUAAUUCCUUGCAUAAAUUACCUUCUAAGAUUUUAAUAAUUAUCUUUGAUUCUGCUCCUCCAAUUUCGAAUAAAUCCCUAGUUCUUUUCAACAAAUAAGAGCUUUGUCAUUAGCAUGCCUCCAAGAAAACUAACAUUUCCAGCAUUUUUGAAUUGCUAAUCAACUCUUUAUCUACAAACCAAAUCUAAAAAAGAUACUGUUGGGAAAGAAACUAAAUCUCAAAAUAAACCAUUUUAAAAAUAAAAGCGCACUAGACUUAAUGGAAGACACUACUGCUUGCUUCACCUUUCACCUACUAUGAAUGUGAGAAUAUAUAAACCUACAAUCGCAGAGCUCUCCUCUCAAAGUAUAUAAAUAAUAACUUGGGAGGCUGCAUCAUGGUGGUGCAGAUCUUUG